GAUGCAGUGUAUGGAAUGUCAAAUUUCUAGUAUGAGAAAUUAACGAUUUAAGUCCUUCUUAAAUGAGGCCAUUUACCCAUAGAGGGUGCCAGGCCCGUAUAACGUUAAUGAUUACUAGAUGGCAUUUCCAAAGAGUCGUGUUGCUUGAUAGUGCAGCACUAAGUGGGUGGUAAACUCCAUCUAAAACUAAAUAUAACCAUGAGACCGAUAGUAAACAAGUACCGUGAGGGAAAGUUGAAAAGAACUCUGAAUAGAGAGUUAAAUAGUACGUGAAACUGCUUAGAGGUUAAGCCCGAUGAACCUGAAUAUCCAUUAUAGAAAAUUCAUCAUUAUGAUUUUAAUAUAAUUUAAUAUUAAAAUAAUGGUGUGCAUUUUUUCUAUAGAGGACAUUGUAAUCUAUUGACACAAAUUAAAAUUUAUCAAAAGAUCAAUUGCUUAAGUUUAUUCAAAUUAUUUUGCUUGCAAUUUAACAUAAAAUAAAUGCUUUUGAUUUGAUAAAGUGUUGAUAGAUUUAUAAUAUAUAGUGCUUGAAUAUUUUAUAUUCUAUAAUAGCAUAUUAAUUUAUAAUUUUUAUGUUUAUUAUAUGCACUUAUAUGAUUAACAAUGCGAAAGAUUCAGGAUACCUUCGGGACCCGUCUUGAAACACGGACCAAGGAGUCUAACAUAUUUGCAAGUUAUUGGGAAUAAAAACCUAAUAGCGAAAUUAACAUAACUUAUUUAUUGGGAUUAGUUUUUAGUCUAUUUAUAGUCUAUUAAUUCAAUCCCGGGGCGUUCUAUAUAGUUAUGUAUAAUAAUAUUUAUAUUAUUUAUACCUCUAACUAGAGCGUACCUUGAGCAUAUAUGCUGUGACCCGAAAGAUGGUGAACUAUACUUGAUCAGGUUGAAGUCAGGGGAAACCCUGAUGGAAGACCGAAACAGUUCUGACGUGCAAAUCGAUUGUCAGAAUUGAGUAUAGGGGCGAAAGACCAAUCGAACCAUCUAGUAGCUGGUUCCCUCCGAAGUUUCCCUCAGGAUAGCUGGUGCAUUUAAAAAUUAUGUAAAAUAAUCUUAUCUGGUAAAGCGAAUGAUUAGAGGCCUUAGGGUCGAAACGAUCUUAACCUAUUCUCAAACUUUAAAUGGGUAAGAACCUCACCUUUCUUGGUAUGAAGGUUGUGGUUGUGAUAUAAUGUGCCCAGUGGGCCACUUUUGGUAAGCAGAACUGGCGCUGUGGGAUGAACCAAACGUAAUGUUACGGUGCCCAAAUUAACAACUCAUGCAGAUACCAUGAAA
rnacentral:rRNA from 1 species